ACGCUGGCGGCAGGCCUAACACAUGCAAGUCGAGCGGUAGAGAGAAGCUUGCUUCUCUUGAGAGCGGCGGACGGGUGAGUAAUGCCUAGGAAUCUGCCUGGUAGUGGGGGAUAACGUUCGGAAACGGACGCUAAUACCGCAUACGUCCUACGGGAGAAAGCAGGGGACCUUCGGGCCUUGCGCUAUCAGAUGAGCCUAGGUCGGAUUAGCUAGUUGGUGAGGUAAUGGCUCACCAAGGCGACGAUCCGUAACUGGUCUGAGAGGAUGAUCAGUCACACUGGAACUGAGACACGGUCCAGACUCCUACGGGAGGCAGCAGUGGGGAAUAUUGGACAAUGGGCGAAAGCCUGAUCCAGCCAUGCCGCGUGUGUGAAGAAGGUCUUCGGAUUGUAAAGCACUUUAAGUUGGGAGGAAGGGUUGUAGAUUAAUACUCUGCAAUUUUGACGUUACCGACAGAAUAAGCACCGGCUAACUCUGUGCCAGCAGCCGCGGUAAUACAGAGGGUGCAAGCGUUAAUCGGAAUUACUGGGCGUAAAGCGCGCGUAGGUGGUUUGUUAAGUUGGAUGUGAAAUCCCCGGGCUCAACCUGGGAACUGCAUUCAAAACUGACUGACUAGAGUAUGGUAGAGGGUGGUGGAAUUUCCUGUGUAGCGGUGAAAUGCGUAGAUAUAGGAAGGAACACCAGUGGCGAAGGCGACCACCUGGACUAGUUACUGACACUGAGGUGCGAAAGCGUGGGGAGCAAAC
rnacentral:rRNA from 1 species